GAUCUGUUAGUUUAGUUGGUAGAAUACCUGUCUGUGGAACAGGAGACAUCGGUUCGAAUCCGAUACAGGUCA
rfam:Acanthamoeba polyphaga moumouvirus, complete genome.